UUUGAACGCUGGCGGCAGGCUUAACACAUGCAAGUCGAGCGGAGCGGCGGACGGGUGAGUAAUGCCUAGGAAUCUGCCUGGUCGGGGGGGAUAACGUCCGGAAAAGGGCGCUAAUACUGCAUACUCUCAGAAGAGCCUCGGGCGGAUUAGCUAGUUGGUGGGGUAAAGGCAGAACAGGGCGACGAUCCGUAACUGGUAUGAGAGGAUGAUCAGUCACCCUGGGACUGAGACACGGCCCAGACUCCUACGGGAGGCAGCAGUGGGGAAUAUUGGACAAUGGGCGAAAGCCUGAUCCAGCCAUGCCGCGUGUGUGAAGAAGGUCUUCGGGUUGUAAAGCACUUUUAGUAGGGAGGCGUUACCAGCAGAAUAAGCACCGGCUAACUUCGUGCCAGCAGCCGCGGUAAUAC
rnacentral:rRNA from 1 species